CCGCCCCCGCUCAGCCCCGCCUCCGCCCGCUCGCCUCCCUCCCCGCCCCCUCGCGGCCUCGCUGGAUCUCCCCGCCGCCUCGCCGGAUCUCCCCGCUUCCCCAUACAUCGCCCUCACCGCACCGGCGCGCUCCUCACUUCCCCGAGCAGGCGACCCAGGCAGCCUCUGCCAUUGGAACCACCACCUCAUCCUUAUGCGAGCCGUCGUCGGAGCCAUGACUGUGGGCCGACUUUUGCCGCCGUUGCCGCCGCUGGGAUCAUCCUACUUGUCCCUCCACGCGCCACCAAUACAAGCUGCGGAACCGCUGCCGGCACAGCCCUCAGCCGCAUGAAGGAAUUGUCGCCACCUCUUACAGUUGAUGGCAAGUUGACGACAUGUUGAUUUUCCGUCGUACUGAACUUGAUGGACAAGUUCUUAUGUCAACCACAACGAGCGAGAGCAAUUUAUAGGGCACCAGAUUUGCACAGCAAGAUCUAACAUCGACAGGGUGGAUGCAUGCACCUUCACCGCCUGCAGAGGAAAUGGAAAGAGAGGUGGAGCUGGUGCAGGCUUUCCAGGCCGUGGAGGCGGCCGCGCAGAGGUUCUUCGUCACGUACCAACAGGUCGUGGCGGUGGUGUGUGCCACGAUGGAGGCGUCGGGCAAACGGGCGCUGUUCGUGCCAGCGUGCUCCACAUUCUGGUUUGACAUGUAUGUUAUUUUUCUCAAUGAGAACGGUGUUAAAUUAGAUUACUCAGAAUCCCGGUUUUGGCCAUGUAUGUGCAUUUUAAACGUUUGUUUAUAUAUGAACCAAAAACUGAGGUGAGUUGUGAUUUCCGAAUCUGGUGAGGGAAUUAGAAAAACUUAAGAUGAAGUAGGAGAGGGUCUUGAAGUAUACUGCCAUCAACCUGAUCGAUAUGUUCCUCCUUGCAUUUGCUCCAUUACAUGAACUGAAAAUCCAGCAAUGUUGUAAAAGAGAUAAAUAGUGAACUUAUGGGUUUUCAUUUGUAGAUGCUUUUGACUGCUAUAAGUUUCAUAAAAUAUUUUGUCCAUCAAACUCUAUGUUUCUUAUACAUGAAAAAAGAUAUGCAACUGUAGGAAGAAAGAGUACAGUGAUUGCUGGAGAGUGGAGACAGUGGAAGAGGGUGGGAACCACAUGAUCAUUGCAGCGCUUUGCUACUUACCAUUGUCAUGUCGAGGGUGCUCCCGGGUGAUUGGCAAUGCAUGCCAGUUACCAUUUGUUGGUUAGGUAUUUUUACAAAUUGUAAUAGAAAUGGUAUGAGUUCUCAAGCAGGAGCUGGAGCUACUUUUUGUUCGUCAGUUUAAUUUUUACUAACCUAUAACUUAAGUUGCAACUGCUGUGUCAAGUGGCAGCUGGUGAGCCAGAUCAAAAAUGGAUCGAUGAGUGUCAGCAUCCUUGGUUCUGAAGCAAUUCGUGAAGCGUCUCCGGCCAGAACAAUCUGGUGCUUACAGAGUAUUGUCUACCUAGAAGCCAUGUUGCUAUAUAAGUAUAAACACUGGGACUAUCAAGAAGCUGGUGAGUUUCUACCAUCCUUCAUUGUUAGCAUGAUUAGACAUUCAAUAUAUUUAUUCAUAUUCAUAUAUUUUUUAAAUCUAUGCGAAGCUCAUGUUUAGAUACUUGAUGCUGACAUGUGCACCGAAAAUCUAAAAUGAACACAAUUAUUAAUGGAUGAUACUUUGAUCAAUAAUUGCUCUGGCUUCGGUCAUGCACUGAUUUUGCUAUAUUCCGUUCUUCUAAAAACAAUUCAUCACAAAAUUUCAGCUGAGCUCCACUGCAUCUUAUCCCGAAUCUCCGUCGAUUAUUUUUUUCAAAGAUUUAUUGCAUUUAUGACUGCCUUGCCGGCCAUCAUCCCACUCCCCAUGGCAUGGAUGGAGUCUUAGGGCAAAGUUUAGGUGAUUAUUUGGCAAUGCAAAAUUAGUACGCUCGUCUAACUUGGCUACCAUUGGUGCAUUACUUUCUUUGACAACAUAUUUGGACUUUGCAUGAAUACAGAAGUGAUGGUCGGAGUAAUAGCUGUGGAGAAGUAGAGUUGCAUUUUAGGAUAAUGGGUAAAAUUGGAGCUAUGAUUAGUUGUGGGUUUAAGAAUUGAGAUCUAGAAAAUGCAUUGUUCAUUUACUUCAUUUAAACUGGCAUGUCACUUGUCACAUCCAUGGAAAUAAUUUGCUGAAGAGACAACAAAGUUUAGUUUCAGGUCGUGUCUUCUUUUGUUUCAUGGUUGUUUAAACUUUGUGGCGUCGCUGUUCCUGUCGGCCUUCAUUAGGUUGAUGUACUAUUCUCUUCUUAAUAAUAUAUUUAUACACGGAGCAUGUUCAUGGAAAAAAUGAAAUGAGUUUUUGCUACAUUUGAGCAUUGCAUUUUAAAGUAAAGUUUCAGCCAUUAUUUUCUAGCAGAAAUUCAGUGAUCUAUAUGCAAACAAUCCCUCUAUUUCUAGUAAUCUUGUGGGACGUCAGAGAGCAGAUGACAUGAUCACAUCCCCAGUAAAUGUGUCAAUCAUACUAAACCAUUGACAGUUUCUAAUUUUGGAUAUUGAAAUAAUGAUAUUUUCUCGAGUAAAAUGAGAAUACUGAUUAAUCCAUUUUCUAUUUCUGAGCUAUCUUGAUAAUUCUUAGCUAUUUUGAUGUUUCGCUUGAUAGCAAUUAUUACUUUUUAAGAAGACUUAAGUGUGGGAGACUGUGGUUUCAAAUCAGAGAAUUGUGUUUCGAGGUUACUAACAUACUAUUUCAUAUGAACUUCUUUUUCUUCAUUUACAUAUAGGCCAAGAUGUCCUCAAUAUGCCGCAUCUGGAACGUCUAGGAAAAGAUUAACCAUCUGAAGACUCGGUUAUCUGGUUUUAUUUUAAAUGAACUUGUGUGUGGGGGGAGAGCAAUAAAUUCGUGCAUGAACUACCUGUGUUGAUAAAAUAUGCCAGGAAUGAUGUGUUAUCGAUAAUUUUUGGGUUCACUGAACCACGAGCGAGGUGGGAGGAGAGUCAGGCAUAUUAUUCUGGAGUGGCAUAUUUUUGGGUUCACUGAAG